GCCAAGUUGGCUCCUCUUACCUUAAUUACUGUUGCUGGCUGGCAGUCUGUGGGCUUGCUGGCUGCGGCUGGCAGGCUGUGGGCUUGCUGGCUACUGCCGGCAGGCUGUGGGCUUGCUGACUGCGGCUGGCAGGCUGUGGGCUUGCUGACUGCGGCUGGCAGGCUAUGGCUUGCUGGCUGUAAGCCUGUGGCUUGCUGUAGGCCUGUGGGCUGGCUACUGGCCUGUGGGCUGGCUACUGGCCAGCCUGUGGGUUGGCUGGCUGGCUACUGGGGCACUUGUAGAUUAUUUAAAGAAAUAAUCCAUGCACAAUAACCACUACUGCUCCAGAGUAAGUAGUCAAACCGUUUAAGAACAGUUUGACAACUUGCCUGGGGUCUGCUGGGAUAUGAGGCUGUAGUAGGGAAUAGGAGCAGUGGUGCAAUGUGUGUGAAAGGUUCAGUGUGUGUGUGGGGGUGUAGUGUGUGAAUGUGUAGGGUGUGUGGGCGGUGUAUGUGUGUGGCAAUGUUAGUAUGGGGGGCUGUGUAUGGGGGUCUGUGUGUAUAUGGGUGGGCAGUGUAUGUGUGUGUGUGUGUGUGUGAGGCAAUGUGUGUAAAUGUGUAUGGUGUGUAUGGGGGCAGUGUGUGAAUGUGUAUGGUGUGUGUGUGGGGG